AAAUUGAAGAGUUUGAUCAUGGCUCAGAUUGAACGCUGGCGGCAGGCCUAACACAUGCAAGUCGAACGGUAGCACAGAGAGCUUGCUCUCGGGUGACGAGUGGCGGACGGGUGAGUAAUGUCUGGGAAACUGCCUGAUGGAGGGGGAUAACUACUGGAAACGGUGGCUAAUACCGCAUAACGUCGCAAGACCAAAGAGGGGGACCUUCGGGCCUCUUGCCAUCAGAUGUGCCCAGAUGGGAUUAGCUAGUUGGUGAGGUAACGGCUCACCAAGGCGACGAUCCCUAGCUGGUCUGAGAGGAUGACCAGCCACACUGGAACUGAGACACGGUCCAGACUCCUACGGGAGGCAGCAGUGGGGAAUAUUGCACAAUGGGCGCAAGCCUGAUGCAGCCAUGCCGCGUGUAUGAAGAAGGCCUUCGGGUUGUAAAGUACUUUCAGCGGGGAGGAAGGUGUUGUGGUUAAUAACCACAGCAAUUGACGUUACCCGCAGAAGAAGCACCGGCUAACUCCGUGCCAGCAGCCGCGGUAAUACGGAGGGUGCAAGCGUUAAUCGGAAUUACUGGGCGUAAAGCGCACGCAGGCGGUCUGUCAAGUCGGAUGUGAAAUCCCCGGGCUCAACCUGGGAACUGCAUUCGAAACUGGCAGGCUUGAGUCUUGUAGAGGGGGGUAGAAUUCCAGGUGUAGCGGUGAAAUGCGUAGAGAUCUGGAGGAAUACCGGUGGCGAAGGCGACCCCCUGGACAAAGACUGACGCUCAGGUGCGAAAGCGUGGGGAGCAAACAGGAUUAGAUACCCUGGUAGUCCACGCCGUAAACGAUGUCUACUUGGAGGUUGUGCCCUUGAGGCGUGGCUUCCGGAGCUAACGCGUUAAGUAGACCGCCUGGGGAGUACGGCCGCAAGGUUAAAACUCAAAUGAAUUGACGGGGGCCCGCACAAGCGGUGGAGCAUGUGGUUUAAUUCGAUGCAACGCGAAGAACCUUACCUGGUCUUGACAUCCACAGAACUUUCCAGAGAUGGAUUGGUGCCUUCGGGAACUGUGAGACAGGUGCUGCAUGGCUGUCGUCAGCUCGUGUUGUGAAAUGUUGGGUUAAGUCCCGCAACGAGCGCAACCCUUAUCCUUUGUUGCCAGCGGUCCGGCCGGGAACUCAAAGGAGACUGCCAGUGAUAAACUGGAGGAAGGUGGGGAUGACGUCAAGUCAUCAUGGCCCUUACGACCAGGGCUACACACGUGCUACAAUGGCGCAUACAAAGAGAAGCGACCUCGCGAGAGCAAGCGGACCUCAUAAAGUGCGUCGUAGUCCGGAUUGGAGUCUGCAACUCGACUCCAUGAAGUCGGAAUCGCUAGUAAUCGUGGAUCAGAAUGCCACGGUGAAUACGUUCCCGGGCCUUGUACACACCGCCCGUCACACCAUGGGAGUGGGUUGCAAAAGAAGUAGGUAGCUUAACCUUCGGGAGGGCGCUUACCACUUUGUGAUUCAUGACUGGGGUGAAGUCGUAACAAGGUAACCGUAGGGGAACCUGCGGUUGGAUCACCUCCUUA
rnacentral:rRNA from 1 species